CAAUGCCUACGGGAGGCAGCAGUAGGGAAUCUUCCACAAUGGACGAAAGUCUGAUGGAGCAACGCCGCGUGAGUGAAGAAGGGUUUCGGCUCGUAAAGCUCUGUUGGUAGUGAAGAAAGAUAGAGGUAGUAACUGGCCUUUAUUUGACGGUAAUUACUUAGAAAGUCACGGCUAACUACGUGCCAGCAGCCGCGGGAAUACGUAGGUGGCAAGCGUUGUCCGGAUUUAUUGGGCGUAAAGCGAGUGCAGGCGGUUCAAUAAGUC
rnacentral:rRNA from 1 species